CCUGAGAUCGGACGAGAUUACCCGCU
rnacentral:rRNA from 3 species